GUACUCGCUUCGGUAGCACAUAUACUAAAAUUGGAAUGAUACAGAGAUUAGCAUGGCCCCCCCGCACAAGGAUGACACGCAAAUUCAUGAAGCGUUCCAUAUUUUU